UGGACCAAUGCUGACGACUGGUGGCAUAGGAGUCACGGAUGAUGAAUACUAUAUGUUUUGAACUCUGAGGUCCAA
ensembl:snoRNA